UUCUCUGGUGGGGAUUUGAACCCCAGUUGCCCAUGGGACAGCGGGAAUACUAACCACUAUACUACCAAGUA